GGGAACAAAUGGGGGGUGUUGCGCGGCGAGGCAGCAGUAACAAGAAUUUUGUGCAAUAUACGAAAGUAAGACACAGAGAGGGCACCUUUUCUAGUCCGUCAAAUUAAGUGCCAGCAGACGCGGUGAAACUUAAGGGCUAGUCUUAUAGGCAAAAGCGUAAAGGGUGUGAUAGGCCGCCUUAUUUAAGAGAGUAAAUGGAAUUUUUCUGUAAUGGUGGUAUGUGUAAAUAGGAAAAAGAACUUUAGACGUGAAGACUAUUUACUUCUAAGAUUAUAAUGUGUUGGCUAAAACACGAGAGUGUGGGGAGCAAACAGGAUUAGGUACCCUGGUAGUCCAUACUGUAAAUAAUGAAAAAGAUGUGAAGCAAUUCUAAAAGGUAAGAACUUUUCCGCUUGAGUAGUACGAUCGCAAGAUUAAAAUUCAAAAAACUUGGCUGUUCACUGUUUUGAUUAGAGGAGCGUGUCGUUUAAUUCGAUAGUCCGCGAGAGACCUUACCCAAACUUGAAUCCCUCAUUGACAGGUAUUGCAUGGCCGUCGUCAAUUUGUGUAUUAAACAUAAAACAAAUUCAACCCAGUGGUUUGUCUAUUGGAUGAAGUCAGGUCUUAUUGUCCUAAUGUUUGGGGAUUAGAUGCGCUACAUUUUUUUAUACAAUGGGAAACUUUGAAUGUGAAACCCAAAAAUAAGAGUUCGGAAGGUGUCUGGAAUAUAACGGAAAGUUGGAUUUAAUAGUAAUUGAAAAGUAGAGCGUUUCAAUGAAAUUUAUUCAGUGUUAGUACAAAUUGCCCGUCGCCUUUGCUUAGAAAGGUUGUUUGGUUGCCCCUCAAGAGGGUUCCUAAUAUCUUCGAGGUAGAGUAAGUCGUAACAUAGUAGAG
rnacentral:rRNA from 1 species